GGAGUUUGGACCGUGUCUCAGUUCCAAUGUGGGGGACCUUCCUCUCAGAACCCCUACUGAUCGUUGGCUCGGUGGGCCGUUACCCCGCCGACUGCCUAAUCAGACGCAUCCCCAUCCCUUAGCGAUAAAUCUUUGUUCCUCAUCAGAUGCCAUCCAAGGAAAACAUAGGGUAUUAAUUCGACUUUCGCCGGGCUAUGCCCUACUAAGGGGAAGGUUGGAUACGCGUUACUCACCCGUGCGCCGGUCGCCAUCAAUCUUAGCAAGCUAAGAUCAUGCUGCCCCUCGACUUGCAUGUGUUAAGCCUGUAGCUAGCGUUCAUC
rnacentral:rRNA from 1 species